GAUGAACGCUGGCGGCGUGCCUAAUACAUGCAAGUCGAGCGAACAGACGAGGAGCUUGCUCCUCUGACGUUAGCGGCGGACGGGUGAGUAACACGUGGAUAACCUACCUAUAAGACUGGGAUAACUUCGGGAAACCGGAGCUAAUACCGGAUAAUAUAUUGAACCGCAUGGUUCAAUAGUGAAAGACGGUUUUGCUGUCACUUAUAGAUCGAUCCGCGCCGCAUUAGCUAGUUGGUAAGGUAACGGCUUACCAAGGCAACGAUGCGUAGCCGACCUGAGAGGGUGAUCGGCCACACUGGAACUGAGACACGGUCCAGACUCCUACGGGAGGCAGCAGUAGGGAAUCUUCCGCAAUGGGCGAAGGCCUGACGGAGCAACGCCGCGUGAGUGAUGAAGGUCUUCGGAUCGUAAAACUCUGUUAUUAGGGAAGAACAAAUGUGUAAGUAACUAUGCACGUCUUGACGGUACCUAAUCAGAAAGCCACGGCUAACUACGUG
rnacentral:rRNA from 1 species